UCCAGGACGAGCUCUGUUCACGUUUACCGAGGGUUCCUGGACGAGGACAGCGUUUCGGUAUUCUCCAAGAUAGCCUGUCUCUGUCUCAUCCCGACCUUCCGAGAACGCAGGAGGAAAGAGCUGUCUUCGACGCUGGCAAUUCCACACUUGCGAAGGGGCAUACGCUGCAAGAACUUGCUGAACGCGUUUACGUCAAGACUGAC